rnacentral:misc_RNA from 1 species
AACGCAAAUUGCGCCUUCUUUCGGAAGGCAUGUCUGUUUGAGGGCACCAUUUAACAAAUAAUGUGCGCGUCGUUUUUACGAGCGACGUGCGCACGUUGAUGAGCUUUUCCGAAAAAACCAGGUUUUUUUGGUGGCGCAUAAUGAACAGCGUGGGCUUUUUCUUCGAUUCUCGUGUAGUAAAUCUUCAACGCUUGGGUUGAGAAAAAGUGCGUGCCGCGCAAUGGGUGUGGCGAAUUUUACCCCUGCCCCAAUGCCACUCUUUCCCUGCGAAAGAACAAUCUUUUAUUCAGGGCCUCAAAUCAGACAAGAGUACCCGCUGAACUUAA